ACAGCUCAAAUUUAAAAUCUGGUGGUCUUUGGUCACCCGAGUUGUAGUCUAGAGAAGUGUUUUCUGUGCUGGACCAUGUACAAGUCUCUUGGAACAGAGCGUCAUAGAGGGUGAGAAUCCCGUCCUUGACAUGGACCCCCAGUGCUAUACGAUGCACUCUCAAAGAGUCGAGUUGUUUGGGAAUGCAGCUCAAAAUGGGAGGUAAAUUCCUUCUAAAGCUAAAUAUUGGCGAGAGACCGAUAGCGAA
rnacentral:rRNA from 1 species